UGGUGGAGCGAUUUGUCUGGUUAAUUCCGAUAACGAACGAGACUCUAGCUUAUUAAAUAGUUUGCCGAUGUCCAAGCGUCGGCGGCAACUUCUUAGAGGGACAGGUGUCGUAUAGGCACACGAGAUUGAGCAAUAACA
rnacentral:rRNA from 1 species